CCCUCCCCGCCCCUCCCCGCCCCUCCCCGCCCCGGGCCCGGCUGCUAUUUAAAGGCAGAAUGGUCCGGCGGCGAGCAGAGCGCGGAGGUGGCGCGGUCGAGGCGGUGUGGGCGCGGGGCGUCACACCCCGUAACUGGCAGCCGCCGCUCGGUGCUUCUCUCCUGAGUCUCUCUUGCCCGGCGGGCUCCCAGCCCCCGCCGCCCGGGCCCCGCGGACCUGCAAACCCCAGGCCCGGCGGAUUUGCCUUUGGCGCUUUCCCGGGCUCGGCAGAGGGGUUCCCGGCUGGGAUCUCUGGGGUCGCGCUGGCGAUGAGCAGCGAAGAAAGGCGAGGCGCUGCUCUCCGAGCGCGAGGAGGCGGGGUGCGCUCGCCGGGGUCGCCGGGGCGCCGCUGGGGAACCCGGGCCAGCGAACCCAAGCGCGAUUUCCGCGGGUCCCGGGCGCAGAGGCCGGGGCUGCCGGCGCUUUGGCCUUGGAUGGAAAGUUGGGAAUGGGGUAGGGGCCUCCGGACCCCCUAACGUGGAUUACUUGGUGCGUCUCGGCCGGGCUCGGAUGACCCACAACCUCGUCUCCAUCCGUGGAUUGAUGCACAUUCUACCUAACAGUCGAGUCCCUUACCUGUAGGGCCCCUUACCUCGAGAGCUGAGCCGCCUCGGUGAGCUCCCGUCGUCUGCCCAUUGGCGACCCAGAAUGCGAUCGGGGCGCAGCGCUUGGAGCCCCCCUCGCCGGGGGGGUGGUGAAUGUCUCUGGUCCCCGGUCCUGGUUGCUGGUGAGCGGCUAUACUGCAAGGACUGCGCCAUCCAUCAGGCAUCUUUCUGAACGGGUGGGAGGUAGCAGGCAUUCGGUCCGGGGCGUACUCCCGCCCCCCGCCGUCAGUGCACAUUGUUAAUGGAAGCGGUUUCCCGGCCAGCGCGGGGAGGGGGCGUAGUCUUGAGUCCUGACCUGGAAGCACGCUGCUUCUGAAUCCACAGCCCCCCCGAUCCUCGUCCUUUUGUGUGGGCGCUGUUUGCAGCGGCGCCGUGCCUGUCGCUGAGUAGGUGCAGAGUAGAUGUCUGCUGAAUGAAUGAGCGAAUCCGCCUUGAUGUGCAGAUAAACCAGGGGCCUCCUUUUCCUGCUCCCCCUUUGGCACUUGUCCUCAACUCUUUCCCCCGAAGAUGGUUUCCUGGGGGUGCUUUCCCAGAUACGGGGUUCCCUCCCCUCCCUCCAGCUCCGUUGGCAGUUUGUCUGUGAUGAUCCAUUUCCUGCCCAAAAGUCCCUCCUGCAUAGAACACUUCUGGAAGCAGUCACGGGUCUCCCUUGGACUGUGUGCAGGGUGCCAGUGCCUCCCGUGAGCACCUGCUUGGGAAGAGGGGGAGAGCCAGGCACCACAGGAAGAAAAAAGGUGAUGUGUGUUGGUACCGCCCCUCCCCCAGGAGCCUGUGCCCUGGCCACACCCAGGUCCGUGGAACUGCCCACGUUGGUGCAGUAUGUACCCUGUGGCCCUUCCUCACCUUCUCUGGGAGAGGAACUGUUGAAAUUGUCCCACUGAUGGCCGGAAGCCCCGCCUCUGCACCCCGUCUGAUUUUAAAGGUAAUCCGUGCCCUUUCUCUGUCUUUUAUAGAAAACUACAAAAAAGAGCAAAAAACAGGAAAGGAAACACCCAGUUCCCACAGUAAUGCAAUUUGACAAUAUGUCCCCACUGCUGAAAUCCUGCAAAUAUGUACAACUUUGUUUCCCGCUUUAUUCCCUCUCACUUUGUGUUUUUUUUUUUUUGAACAUUUCCCCAUAUAAUGACUGUAUUCACUGCAGGCAUUGAAUCAUAGUUUGCGUGACAAUUCUCCCAUUGUUGGACACCAAGGUAUUUCCAAAUUUUUACCCUUUGAAUUCA